GACGAACGCUGGCGGCGUGCUUAACACAUGCAAGUCGAACGGAAAGGCCCUGCUUUUGUGGGGUGCUCGAGUGGCGAACGGGUGAGUAACACGUGAGUAACCUGCCCUUGACUUUGGGAUAACUUCAGGAAACUGGGGCUAAUACCGGAUAGGAGCUCCUGCUGCAUGGUGGGGGUUGGAAAGUUUCGGCGGUUGGGGAUGGACUCGCGGCUUAUCAGCUUGUUGGUGGGGUAGUGGCUUACCAAGGCUUUGACGGGUAGCCGGCCUGAGAGGGUGACCGGCCACAUUGGGACUGAGAGACGGCACAGACUCCUACGGGAGGCAGCAGUGGGGAAUAUUGCACAAUGGGCGGAAGCCUGAUGCAGCAACGCCGCGUGCGGGAUGACGGCCUUCGGGUGGUAAACCGCUUUCGCCUGUGACGAAGCGUGAGUGACGGUAAUGGGUAAAGAAGCACCGGCUAACUACGUG
rnacentral:rRNA from 1 species